ACUCCUACGGGAGGCAGCAGUGGGGAAUUUUGGACAAUGGGCGAAAGCCUGAUCCAGCAAUGCCGCGAGUGAAGAAGGCCUUCGGGUUGUAAAGCUCUUUUGUCAGGGAAGAAACGGUGAAAGCUAAUAUCUUUUGCUAAUGACGGUACCUGAAGAAUAAGCACCGGCUAACUACGUGCCAGCAGCCGCGGUAAUACGUAGGGUGCAAGCGUUAAUCGGAAUUACUGGGCGUAAAGCGUGCGCAGGCGGUUUUGUAAGUCUGAUGUGAAAUCCCCGGGCUCAACCUGGGAAUUGCAUUGGAGACUGCAAGGCUAGAAUCUGGCAGAGGGGGGUAGAAUUCCACGUGUAGCAGUGAAAUGCGUAGAUAUGUGGAGGAACACCGAUGGCGAAGGCAGCCCCCUGGGUCAAGAUUGACGCUCAUGCACGAAAGCGUGGGGAGCAAACAGGAUUAGAAACCCGGGUAGUCC
rnacentral:rRNA from 1 species